GUGAAAGUGGAGGCAGCUACGGAGGCGGUGAAGAAGCGAGUGGAAGUGGUGGCGGCUACGGAGGAGGAAGCGGAAAAUCAUCCCAUUCCUAGUCUUCUUCCUCAAAAUCUGGUGACCAAGAUGAGACAAAAGACUGAGAUCCACUGGGAUUGUCUGAGGGAAUUCUUGUGAAACCAGAAAGAAAGUUCAAGAAAUGAUGCAACAACAACAAAAUAAAACCCAGGAGAAAUAGUACGACAAGAAGUUAAAAGAUCGUGAGGAGAGCCCUGCAGUGGAGGAGGAGAACCUGUUGGCCAGGAACUGCCAACAGCUUUUGUUCUGGAUAAGCCCCUCGUGGAGGAGGACAAGGCAAGAAGAUGGGUCUUCAUCCUAACCCACGGAAGCAGCGCUGGACUGAGAAGCACCACCUGCGAAACUCCCAGCCCCACUGAGUAACCUCCAGGGCAGGGGCAUGUCCCUGCUUACGAGCUCCCACCAGCCCGUCACACCCCCCCACCCACCUCAGAGGCUCCUGCCCCUGACCUGAGUGAGCUGUGUCUGAGUUGGGUCCCUCCUCCCUCCAAGGAGUGUGCUCUAUGGACAACAGCCUCUAUCCUCAUUUGUCCCUUCCUCCUAGCGCCUCCUUCUGCACCCCUGACCCCGCUCCAUGCUGUCACCUCCUCUGUAUGGCAGCUGGGCCUCGUCUGUCCUGGGACGGUGGCAAGCAUGUACAGAAGUCAUCUUCCUUAUUUCUCACUACCCCCAGCUUCCCAGAUGGGAAACUGAGGCUCAGAGAAAUGACAUAACUCAGCUGACAAAGGAUCUGAGUGGGUCUGACCCGCAAGCCCACCCUCUUCACCUCAUGCUGUCUAAAACAAUUACAGACACCUCCCACGAGCAGGAAAGCUCUGGAAAUGUCUUCUUGGAAAGCAAGCAGCUACCCAUGAACAGACUUCUCAAAGCUUUUGGCCUUGGCCUCCCAAGGUGCUGGGACUACAGGCGUGGGUCACUGCACCUGGCCAAAGCUUUUGUUUGCUUAAAGUGCUUUGUAAGUUUAUAAGAGGAGGCUACAGAACCCAGAAAUCACCUAUGGAUUUGACCACGAGAUGCGCUGCUGAAUUCAUGGUGGGAAAUGCUGAUGAUCUCUGAUGGAGGCUGCUGGGUGGCUGCUGCCCUCACCCUGACCUGUCCUCCCCAGCUGGACGGGGGACUUCUAGGAGGGGGAGGGUCCCCACUGAAGAUGGACACAUGUCCUGUCAGAGUUUCUGAGAAGCUCCAGCCCUUAGGCAGAAUGGGACAAGGAGAAACAGACUUGGGUCUGUACUCGGGACUGCAGAAGCCGAGCAUGAGGAGUUGUGGGGACAGUGCCCCUCCUUCAUCCCCACCUCCCAGCCCCCCAGUAUCUCCUUCUCCCCCUGAUCCUUCCCUUGAUCAGGCCAGGGCCCUGUCAUUGUCCCAACAAAUGCCUACCGCCAGUUCAUCGCACCUUGUUUUCUCUGAUGUCCUCGCAAUCACACACCUUGUGCCCCUGAGCUGGGUACACGAUCCUUUGCAAUGUGUGCUACGAGAACUGUAUUGCUAAUAAUAAAGACAAAAUU
rnacentral:lncRNA from 1 species